UAAGCAUAUCAAUAAGCGGAGGAAAAGAAACCAACAGGGAUUGCCUUAGUAAUGGCGAAUGAAGCGGCAAAAGCUCAGAUUUGAAAUCUCUUUGAUACUCAAAGCGAAUUGUAAUCUGUAGAAGGUUGAAUGGUUCUACUUCUCCAAUUUAAAUUCUUUGGAAUAAGAUAUCAUAGAGGGUGAGAAUCCCGUGAUCUUUGGAAAAAUGAACUUAUAUUCUCCUUUCGACGAGUCGAGUUGUUUGGGAAUGCAGCUCUAAAUGGGUGGUAAAUUUCAUCUAAAGCUAAAUACCUGCCAGAGACCGAUAGCGAACAAGUAGAGUGAUCGAAAGAUGAAAAGCACUUUGAAAAGAGAGUUAAAAAGUACGUGAAAUUGUUGAAAGGGAAGCGCUUGCGAUUAGACUUUGAGAGUCAAAUUCAGAUAAUCUAUGGAUCCAUCUUACUUUUUGUCUCUCAGGCCAGCAUCAGUUCGAUGAGGUUAAUAAACUCGAUUGGAAUGUAGGAAAUUGCUUCGGCAGCUUCUGUUAUAGCCAUUCGAAUCAUUGAUUUACAUUGGACUGAGGUCUGCUCUUUUGAAAGGAUGCUGGCAUAAUGAUCGUAAGCGACCCGUCUUGAA
rnacentral:rRNA from 1 species